rnacentral:lncRNA from 1 species
AUCAAAGUGUGUGGAGAUGUAGUCAAGAUGACUGAUGGUAAAAUGGUUGUCCCAAAAUGAUGUGUAAAAUGUCUUGUGUCUAAGAGGGAUGUGAGGAGUUGAAAGUGAGAUUUGGUGGAGCGGAAGUAUAAGUGUGGAUGCAGGGGAAGAUUGGCAAGGGAUGAGGUUGCAGGCAGGUAAGUAAGGGCAGAUUUUAGCUUAUGAGAAUUGGGGAGCUACCAAAGUAUCUUAAAAGAAAGGUGAAAUAACUAUGGAUUUUAAGGCAAUCUUUCAGAACUGAUGUCACUAAUUGAUGUCUAGAGGCAGAAAAUAAGUUGCUUCUUUCCAUUGUGGUUUAUUCUCUGACUGCAGCUGGCUUGGUAUGUACUCAAGGCCUUCUGCAUAAAGGUGGUUGAUCUUAAUCAGCCCUGCCUUCUCCAUUCCAGAAUGCUCCAGGUAAUAUUCUUUGGAGGAAUUCAGUAUGUGAACAAUGGUCAGUUUUUAUCGAUGUGAUAAUUUUCUGCCAUUAUGAAGCAAUGUCUAUCGACCUUUGGGUCUCACAGAUGUGAGAUCAUGGAGCAUUCAGCACAUAGUAGGAGCCAAAUGUUUAUAUGACCGAGAUAUUCAAAUUAUGUAGAAUAAGACAAAUAAAAGAUGGACAACUGGAUCAGUACUUGCAUGUAGGAUAACUCCCAAGUUUAUGCACCUUUGUAUCUGGGUGUGAAUCUGGCGGAAGUCAGGUUUGACCAACUAUCCUUGG